rnacentral:rRNA from 1 species
AAAAGGGGGGGCAAUCCCUGAGUAAAGCGGCGCACGGGUGAGUAAUGCGUAGGUAAUCUACCCUUGAGUCCAGGAUAACCUACCGAAAGGUGGGCUAAUACCGGAUAUGACCACGGGGAUCUCGGUCCCUGAGGUGAAAGGUGGCCUCUGUUUACAUGCUACCGCUCAUCGAUGAGCCUGCGCGCCAUUAGCUAGUUGGCGGGGUAACGGCCCACCAAGGCGAUGAUGGCUAGCUGGUCUGAGAGGAUGACCAGCCACACUGGGACUGAAACACGGCCCAGACUCCUACGGGAGGCAGCAGUAGGGAAUAUUGCGCAAUGGGCGAAAGCCUGACGCAGCGACGCCGCGUGGGUGAUGAAGGCCUUCGGGUCGUAAAGCCCUGUCGAGGGGAAAGAAACGGUCCCGACCUAACACGUCGGGGCCCUGACGGUACCCCUAAAGGAAGCACCGGCUAACUCCGUGCCAGCAGCCGCGGUAA